UGGGGAAUAUUGCACAAUGGAGGGAACUCUGAUGCAGCGACGCCGCGUGAACGAAGAAGGCUUUCGAGUCGUAAAGUUCUUUUAUAUGGGAAGAUAAUGACGGUACCAUAAGAAAAAGCCCCGGCUAACUACGUGCCAGCAGCCGCGGUAAUACGUAGGGGGCUAGCGUUGUCCGGAAUCACUGGGCGUAAAGGGUUCGCAGGAGGAAAUGCAAGUCAGGUGUAAAAGGCAGUAGCUUAACUACUGUAAGCAUUUGAAACUGCAUAUCUUGAGAAGAGUAGAGGUAAGUGGAAUUUUUAGUGUAGCGGUGAAAUGCGUAGAUAUUAAAAAGAAUACCGGUGGCGAAGGCGGCUUACUGGGCUCAUUCUGACGCUGAGGAACGAAAGCGUGGGUAGCAAACAGG
rnacentral:rRNA from 1 species